rnacentral:rRNA from 1 species
UACGUAGGGUGCAGGCGUUACUCGGAAUUACUGGGCGUAAAGCGUGCGCAGGCGGUCUGCUAAGUCAGGUGUGAAAUCCCCGGGCUUAACCUGGGAACUGCGCUUGUUACUGGCAGGCUGGAGUGUGGCAGAGGGGGGUGGAAUUCCACGUGUAGCAGUGAAAUGCGUAGAGAUGUGGAGGAACACCGAUGGCGAAGGCAGCCCCCUGGGCUAACACUGACGCUCAUGCACGAAAGCGUGGGGAGCAAACAGG